rnacentral:rRNA from 1 species
CGCGAAAACUCCGCAAUGCGCGAAAGCGCGACGGGGUCACCCCGAGUGCCGUCCGCUGAGGGCGGCUUUUGCCUGGUUUAACCAGCCGAGUGAAUAAGGGGAGGGCAAGUCUGGUGUCAGCCGCCGCGGUAAUACCAGCUCCUCGAGUGGUUGGGACGAUUAUUGGGUCUAAAGCGUCCGUAGCCGGCCGGAAAAGUUCUCCGUUAAAUCCAACGAUCCAAUCGUUGGGCUGCGGGGAAUACUCUUCGGCUUGGGGGCGAGGGAGGUCGGCGGUAGUCUCGGGGUAGGGGCGAAAUCCUAUAAUCCCGAGAGGACCACCAGUGGCGAAGGCGGCCGACUAAAGCGCGCCCGACGGUGAGGGACGAAAGCUGGGGGAGCGAACGG